AUUGAACGCUGGCGGCAGGCUUAACACAUGCACGUCGAACGAGUGGCGGACGGGUGAGUAAUGCUUGGGAAUCUAGCUUAUGGAGGGGGAUAACUACGGGAAACUGUAGCUAAUACCGCGUACCAUAGGAUGAGCCCAAGGGGGAUGAGGUAGUUGGUGAGGUAAAGGCUCACCAAGCCGACGAUCGCUAGCUGGUCUGAGAGGAUGACCAGUCACACUGGGACUGAUACACGGCCCAGCCGCCUACGCGAGGGAGGAGUGGGGAAGAUUGCGCAAUGGGGGCAACCUGACGCAUCGAUGCCGCGUGAAUGAAGAAGGCCUGCGGGUUGUAAGGUUCUUGCGGUGGCGAGGCGUUAACUACAGAAGUGGCACCGGCUAACUCCGUGCCAGCAGCCGCGGUAAUUC
rnacentral:rRNA from 1 species